GAUGAACGCUGGCGGUAUGCUUAACACAUGCAAGUCGAACGGUCACUUCGGUGAUAGUGGCGGACGGGUGAGUAACGCGUGAGAAUCUGUCUUCAGGUCGGGGACAACAGUUAGAAAUGACUGCUAAUACCGGAUGUGCCUUUGGGUGAAAGAUUUAUUGCCUGAAAAAGAGCUCGCGUCGGAUUAGCUAGUAGGUGGUGUAAGAGACUACCUAGGCUCCGAUCUGUAGCUGGUCUGAGAGGACGAUCAGCCACACUGGAACUGAGACACGGUCCAGACUCCUACGGGAGGCAGCAGUGGGGAAUUUUCCGCAAUGGGCGAAAGCCUGACGGAGCAAUACCGCGUGAGGGACGAAGGCUUUUGGGUCGUAAACCUCUUUUCUCAAGGAAGAUGAUGACGGUACUUGAGGAAUAAGCAUCGGCUAACUCUGUG
rnacentral:rRNA from 1 species